UACAGAGGUCUCAAGCGUUGUUCGGAUUCAUUGGGCGUAAAGGGUGCGUAGGUGGCGCGCUAAGUCAGGUGUGAAAAUCUCGGGGCUUAACUCCGAAACUGCAUUUGAUACUGGCGUGCUUGAGGACUGGAGAGGAGACUGGAAUUCAUGGUGUAGCAGUGAAAUGCGUAGAGAUCAUGAGGAAGACCAGUGGCGAAGGCGGGGUCUCUGGACAGUUCCUGACACUGAGGCACGAAGGCCAGGGGAGCAAACGGG
rnacentral:rRNA from 1 species